AUUGAACGCUGGCGGAAUGCUUUACACAUGCAAGUCGAACGGUAGAGGGGGCAACCCCUCGAGAGUGGCGAACGGGUGAGUAAUAUAUCGGAACGUGCCCAGUCGUGGGGGAUAACGUAGCGAAAGGUACGGUAAUACCGCAUACGAUCUAAGGAUGAAAGCGGGGGAUCGCAAGACCUCGCGCGAUUGGAGCGGCCGAUAUCAGAUUAGGUAGUUGGUGGGUAAAGGCUCACCAAGCCAACGAUCUGUAGCUGGUCUGAGAGGACGACCAGCCACACUGGAACUUAGACACGGUCCAGACUCCUACGGGAGGCAGCAAUGGGGAAUUUUGGACAAUGGACGCAAGUCUGAUCCAGCCAUUCCGCGUGCAGGAUGAAGGCCCUCGGGUUGUAAACUGCUUUUGUACGGAACGAAAAGGUCUCUCUUAAUACGGGGGACUCAUGACGGUACCGUAAGAAUAAGCACCGGCUAACUACGUGCCAGCCGCCGCAGUAACAC
rnacentral:rRNA from 1 species